rnacentral:tRNA from 1 species
GGGUAUAUAGCUCAGUGGUAGAGUGCAUGCUUAGCAUUUAGCAUGCACGAUGUCCUGGAUUCAAUCCCCAGUACUGCCA